rnacentral:rRNA from 1 species
AGUGAACGCUGGCGGUAGGCCUAACACAUGCAAGUCGAACGGCAGCACAGGAGAGCUUGCUCUCUGGGUGGCGAGUGGCGGACGGGUGAGGAAUACAUCGGAAUCUACUCUGUCGUGGGGGAUAACGUAGGGAAACUUACGCUAAUACCGCAUACGACCUACGGGUGAAAGCAGGGGACCUUCGGGCCUUGCGCGAUUGAAUGAGCCGAUGUCGGAUUAGCUAGUUGGCGGGGUAAAGGCCCACCAAGGCGACGAUCCGUAGCUGGUCUGAGAGGAUGAUCAGCCACACUGGAACUGAGACACGGUCCAGACUCCUACGGGAGGCAGCAGUGGGGAAUAUUGGACAAUGGGCGCAAGCCUGAUCCAGCCAUACCGCGUGGGUGAAGAAGGCCUUCGGGUUGUAAAGCCCUUUUGUUGGGAAAGAAAUCCAGCCGGCUAAUACCCGGUUGGGAUGACAGUACCCAAAGAAUAAGCACCGGCUAACUUCGUGCCAGCCGCCGCUGUAA